AUGGCGGCGGCGGCGGCGGCGCUAAGGCUCGGCGGUCGCAUGCUGCUCCGACGAACUCAAGAGCAAGGGCGGCGCGUCUUCUCGGAUCCGCAACGGCGGCUCUUCGCGGACACGAGCGCCACCGCCCCUGAGGGGAAGCAACCUCUCGCGAUCCGCUUGGCGGAGAUGAAGGAGAAGAAAGAGGAGCUUUACAACAUGGGCUUUUCUUUGGCAACCGAGUACAAUCUCCCUUGCGGUGUCGGCAGAGAGAACAAACAGCUGCUGGAGCUGCUCUCGGUGCAAGUCCAGCCAAGGCCCAAUGAUGUCUACUGGAUGCGGCGGCGGAGGAUGGAGAGGAUGAAGCGAUUCGUGAAAAUUUGGGGGGUAUUUACUCUGGUGUGUACGACUGUGGACGGCCUGCAGAUGUUGAGCAAGGAGAUACGUACGCCUCAAACCAAGGAACGGGCUGGAUGA
rnacentral:rRNA from 1 species